rnacentral:rRNA from 1 species
CGACCGGCGCACGGGUGAGUAACACGUAUGCAACCUGGCCGUGACAGAUGGAUAACCGGGAGAAAUCCCGCCUAAUACAGCAUGACGCCGGGAAGGGACAUCCCUUUCCGGCCAAAGGGGGCGACUCCGGUCACGGAUGGGCAUGCGGCGCAUUAGGUAGUUGGUGGGGCAACGGCCCACCAAGCCGACGAUGCGUAGGGGUUCUGAGAGGAAGAUCCCCCACAUUGGAACUGAGACACGGUCCAAACUCCUACGGAAGGCAGCAG